UACGGAGGUGGCAAGCGUUGCUCGGAAUUACUGGGCGUAAAGGGCGCGUAGGCGGCCUUCUAAGUCGAACGUGAAAUCCCUGGGCUCAACCCAGGAACUGCGUCCGAUACUGGAAGGCUUGAAUCCGGGAGAGGGAUGCGGAAUUCCAGGUGUAGCGGUGAAAUGCGUAGAUAUCUGGAGGAACACCGGUGGCGAAGGCGGCAUCCUGGACCGGUAUUGACGCUGAGGCGCGAAAGCCAGGGGAGCAAACGGG
rnacentral:rRNA from 1 species